AUACGGAGGGUGCAAGCGUUGUUCGGAAUCACUGGGCGUAAAGGGCGCGCAGGCGGUUUGGUAAGUCAGAUGUGAAGGCCCACGGCUCAACCGUGGAAGUGCAUUUGAAACUGUCAGACUUGAGUACUAGAGGGGAAAGUGGAAUUCCCGGUGUAGAGGUGAAAUUCGUAGAUAUCGGGAGGAAUACCGGUGGCGAAGGCGACUUUCUGGCUAGAUACUGACGCUGAGGCGCGAAAGCGUGGGGAGCAAACAGGAUUAGAAACCCCAGUAGUCC
rnacentral:rRNA from 1 species